UACGUAGGGGGCGAGCGUUGUCCGGAAUUAUUGGGCGUAAAGGGUUCGCAGGCGGCCUAUUAAGUCAGAUGUGAAAUCCCAUGGCUUAACCAUGGUAAGCAUUUGAAACUGGAAGGCUUGAGUUAAGGAGAGGAAAGUGGAAUUCCUAGUGUAGCGGUGAAAUGCGUAGAUAUUAGGAGGAAUACCAGUGGCGAAGGCGACUUUCUGGACUUUAACUGACGCUGAGGAACGAAAGCGUGGGGAGCAAACAGGAUUAGAUACCCUGGUAGUCCCUGAGCGGG
rnacentral:rRNA from 1 species